AACGCACGAGACCUGCGGACCUGCGGAAGGAUCAUUACCGAGUUAUCAACUCCCAAACCCCUGUGAACAUACCCGAACGUUGCCUCGGCGGGACCGCCCCGGCGCCCCUAGCGGCCCGGAACCAGGCGCCCGCCGGAGGACCCAAACUCUUGCUUUAAACAGUGGCAUACUCUCUGAGUCUCACAAACAAAAAAUAAAUCAAAACUUUUAGCAACGGAUCUCUAGAUCGGAAGAGCACAC
rnacentral:misc_RNA from 1 species